CCUACGGGUGGCAGCAGUGAGGAAUAUUGGUCAAUGGGCUUACGCCUGAACCAGCCAAGUCGCGUGAGGGAAGACUGCCCUAUGGGUUGUAAACCUCUUUUGUCAGGGAGCAACGCCGGCUACGUGUAGCCGGACUGAGAGUACCUGAAGAAAAAGCAUCGGCGACCGCCGUGCCAGCAGCCGCGGUAAUACGGAGGAUGCGAGCGUUAUCCGGAUUUAUGGGGUUUAAAGGGUGCGUAGGCGGAAUGCCAAGUCACCGGUCAAAGCGCGGGGCUCAACCUCGCUCCGCCGUUGAAACUGGCGUUCUGUAGUGGGCGAGAAGUAUGCGGAAUGCGUGGUGUAGCGGUGAAAUGCAUAGAUAUCACGCAGAACUCCGAUUGCGAAGGCAGCAUACCGGCGCCCAACUGACGCUGCCGCACGCAAGCGUGGGUAUCGAACAGGAUUAGAUACCCCAGUAGUC
rnacentral:rRNA from 1 species